GAUGAACGCUAGCGGCAGGCUUAAUACAUGCAAGUCGAGGGGGAUCAGUUGGGUAGCAAUACCUGGCUGUGAGACCGGCAAACGGGUGAGGAACACGUACGCAACUUUCCCAAAACUGGUGAAUAGCCCUCCGAAAGGAGGAUUAAUACACCGUAACAUAACGAAAUGGCAUCAUUUUGUUAUUAUAGCAGCAAUGCGGUUUUGGAUAGGCGUGCGCCUGAUUAGGUAGUUGGCGGGGUAACGGCCCACCAAGCCUACGAUCAGUAACUGGUGUGAGAGCACGACCAGUCACACGGGCACUGAGACACGGGCCCGACUCCUACGGGAGGCAGCAGUAAGGAAUAUUGGUCAAUGGACGAAAGUCUGAACCAGCCAUGCCGCGUGAAGGAUGAAGGUCCUCUGGAUUGUAAACUUCUUUUAUACGGAACGAAAAGACUCCUUCUAAUAAAGGGGGUCCAUGACGGUACCGUAAGAAUAAGCACCGGCUAACUACGUGCCAGCAGCCGCGGUAAACACGAG
rnacentral:rRNA from 1 species